rnacentral:tmRNA from 1 species
GGGGCUGAAUUAGCAGUAGACAAGAGAAAUUAACAAACUAGCAUGCAGGUCGUUUGACAACGAAAAAGUUUAAAUUAAUUGCAAAAUCUAAUUUUGUAGCAAAAGUUCAGAGCUUUUUUAAAGCUCCUGCUCUUGCAACAAUCGCUGCUUAAAUUAAGCGAUCAUUAGUCUUUGCUUUUCGGCGGUAGCUUAGACUGGUGUCAUAUUGACGUCGAUAGUUCGAAGGAAGGGCAGUUACCUUCGAAUGAAUUGUUUUCUGCAAACUCCAUUUAAUUUUUGUCUUUCUUUGAUGGAUGGAGAAAAUAAGAAAGAAUAAGCUUGUAGAUUGUUAGAUUGUUAUCUUUUGGACCCGAGGGCAGUUCUCGGCAGCUCCACCA